rnacentral:rRNA from 1 species
UACGGGUGGGGUAAAUGUUAAACAGAUGAUUGGGUGUAAAGCGUUUUUAGGCGGUUGCUGAUAUUUUUUGAAAAAUUUUAAAUAAGAUUUUAGACAAAAUAAAAAUAAAUUAGUAACUUGAGUAUGAAAAAAAUAGGAAGAUUUUUCCUGCCAUAAGUAAGAUCAGAAAUUUGAAAAGGAAUGCCAAUUGGCGAAAGCAGCUUAUUUGUUCAUCACUGACGUUGUCAAACUAAAGCUUUGGUAUCAAACGGG